GUGCCAGCAGCCGCGGUAAUACGUAGGUGGCAAGCGUUGUCCGGAAUUAUUGGGCGUAAAGCGCGCGCAGGCGGUCUCUUAAGUCUGAUGUGAAAGCCCCCGGCUCAACCGGGGAGGGUCAUUGGAAACUGGGAGACUUGAGUGCAGGAGAGGGAAGUGGAAUUCCAUGUGUAGCGGUGAAAUGCGUAGAGAUAUGGAGGAACACCAGUGGCGAAGGCGGCUUCCUGGCCUGUAACUGACGCUGAGGCGCGAAAGCGUGGGGAGCAAACAGGAUUAGAUACCCUGGUAGUCCACGCCGUAAACGAUGAGUGCUAGGUGUUAGGGGGUUUCCGCCCCUUAGUGCUGCAGCUAACGCAUUAAGCACUCCGCCUGGGGAGUACGGUCGCAAGACUGAAACUCAAAGGAAUUGACGG
rnacentral:rRNA from 1 species